rnacentral:rRNA from 1 species
CUAAACCAUGCACCGAAGCUGCGGCAGCGACACUCAGGUGUUGUUGGGUAGGGGAGCGUUCUGUAAGCCUGUGAAGGUGGCCUGUGAGGGUUGCUGGAGGUAUCAGAAGUGCGAAUGCUGACAUAAGUAACGAUAAAGCGGGUGAAAAGCCCGCUCGCCGGAAGACCAAGGGUUCCUGUCCAACGUUAAUCGGGGCAGGGUGAGUCGACCCCUAAGGCGAGGCCGAAAGGCGUAGUCGAUGGGAAACGGGUUAAUAUUCCCGUACUUGGUGUUACUGCGAAGGGGGGACGGAGAAGGCUAUGUUGGCCGGGCGACGGUUGUCCCGGUUUAAGCGUGUAGGCUGGUUUUCCAGGCAAAUCCGGAAAAUCAAGGCUGAGGCGUGACGACGAGGCACUACGGUGCUGAAGCAACAAAUGCCCUGCUUCCAGGAAAAGCCUCUAAGCAUCAGGUAACAUCAAAUCGUACCCCAAACCGACACAGGUGGUCAGGUAGAGAAUACCAAGGCGCUUGAGAGAACUCGGGUGAAGGAACUAGGCAAAAUGGUGCCGUAACUUCGGGAGAAGGCACGCUGACACGUAGGUGAAGUGAUUUACUCACGGAGCUGAAGUCAGUCGAAGAUACCAGCUGGCUGCAACUGUUUAUUAAAAACACAGCACUGUGCAAACACGAAAGUGGACGUAUACGGUGUGACGCCUGCCCGGUGCCGGAAGGUUAAUUGAUGGGGUCAGCGCAAGCGAAGCUCCUGAUCGAAGCCCCGGUAAACGGCGGCCGUAACUAUAACGGUCCUAAGGUAGCGAAAUUCCUUGUCGGGUAAGUUCCGACCUGCACGAAUGGCGUAAUGAUGGCCAGGCUGUCUCCACCCGAGACUCAGUGAAAUUGAACUCGCUGUGAAGAUGCAGUGUACCCGCGGCAAGACGGAAAGACCCCGUGAACCUUUACUAUAGCUUGACACUGAACAUUGAGCCUUGAUGUGUAGGAUAGGUGGGAGGCUUUGAAGUGUGGACGCCAGUCUGCAUGGAGCCGGCCUUGAAAUACCACCCUUUAAUGUUUGAUGUUCUAACGUGGACCCGUGAUCCGGGUUGCGGACAGUGUCUGGUGGGUAGUUUGACUGGGGCGGUCUCCUCCUAAAGAGUAACGGAGGAGCACGAAGGUUGGCUAAUCCUGGUCGGACAUCAGGAGGUUAGUGCAAUGGCAUAAGCCAGCUUGACUGCGAGCGUGACGGCGCGAGCAGGUGCGAAAGCAGGUCAUAGUGAUCCGGUGGUUCUGAAUGGAAGGGCCAUCGCUCAACGGAUAAAAGGUACUCCGGGGAUAACAGGCUGAUACCGCCCAAGAGUUCAUAUCGACGGCGGUGUUUGGCACCUCGAUGUCGGCUCAUCACAUCCUGGGGCUGAAGUAGGUCCCAAGGGUAUGGCUGUUCGCCAUUUAAAGUGGUACGCGAGCUGGGUUUAGAACGUCGUGAGACAGUUCGGUCCCUAUCUGCCGUGGGCGCUGGAGAACUGAGGGGGGCUGCUCCUAGUACGAGAGGACCGGAGUGGACGCAUCACUGGUGUUCGGGUUGUCAUGCCAAUGGCACUGCCCGGUAGCUAAAUGCGGAAGAGAUAAGUGCUGAAAGCAUCUAAGCACGAAACUUGCCCCGAGA